CAGGGUCCCGCCAGCCUCUCGGACGUUCGGGAGGGAGUAAGAGGUGGGAAAACAUGCCUAUUCUCUCAGCCAAUCGCAGGGCUAAGCGGCAGGAACGGGGUGAGGCGUGGCCUCCUUCACGGUCUGUUAAGGGGAGAGGUUAGGCUGAGAAAUGGGGCGAGGUUGUGUGACGGACUUCUGCCACAGCCAAUCGUGCGUGAGGAAGGCUCGCGGUGCGCCGCUACGUCACAACAGCGCGAUGAAUUCUUGUAGAGAAGGGAAGUGCCCCGCCUCCAGGAAUCGCACUUGCACGCCUGCGCGACGGGGCCGGCUGUGUUUGCUCUCCUGACCGCCUGUGAGAAGAGCUAGAACCUAGAGGGGACAGUUAGAGAGCAAAGCGAGGACCCUUUCCCGUUCUUGUCCCAUCUCCUGGCCAAUGAGGAACUGCAGCGACUGAUGGGGCUGAAGCCACAGGCCUUCGCUUCUGCAGCAGAACGAGUACAGAUUCGCUGAUCAGCGGCUUGUGGAUUCGGGGGUUGCCGUUUACUCAUAGUGAUCUCUUCCUCGGAGAUUACAAACUUCUGAAGGACAAGGACUGGUUAUCGGGUGGGUGUGGGUGCGCGCGCGCAGGCUUUCCGUGUCAUGUUUAAUAAAAAUAAGUGAGUUGUA